UACGUAGGGUGCAAGCGUUGUCCGGAAUUAUUGGGCGUAAAGAGCUCGUAGGCGGUCUGUCGCGUCGGCUGUGAAAACCCGGAGCUCAACUCCGGGCCUGCAGUCGAUACGGGCAAACUGGAGUACUGCAGGGGAGACCGGAAUUCCUGGUGUAGCGGUGAAAUGCGCAGAUAUCAGGAGGAACACCGGUGGCGAAGGCGGGUCUCUGGGCAGUAACUGACGCUGAGGAGCGAAAGCGUGGGGAGCGAACAGG
rnacentral:rRNA from 1 species